AAGACAGAGAAGGAUGGCCUUCAUUUAUAUAAACCUUGUUACACACCCCUGAAGUACUUAAGGUCUGGAACAACCCUAACGAUAUGAACGAAUAAAGUGAAGUUUACCACGGUUAGAGCUCGGAGCUAGACGCGUACUGAUUUAGUGAUUUGUAAUCCGAAAUUUUACAAGUACAAUGUGCACUUUCAAUGAAAAGGAUAAGUUUUGUAAGCAUUUGAAAUGAAAUAUUACCGCCGUGAUGAAUUCAUGAUUGUUGAUACAUGUUGCCAUGACCAUUGGUUUCACUACCUGAUAUACGAUAUAAACAAAAUUGUUCAUCGUUACUCGGCGUCUCAAAGUGAACAUACAAUAUGAGAGAUAAUGAAACGGAAGAUUUUCUGAUCGGUUCAUCCAUCAAUUCAAACGUAGCAACCGGGAAAAUGAAACUCAAAGAUGAAAAAAUCAAUUUCGCUUGGCGGUGCUGACUUUUUUCGAAUUGUUUUUAAGAAAUAUUUAUUCCGUUUCUAAAAAAAAACUAAAAUGAGUAUCGAUAGUGGAAGCUUUUCUUGUGAUAAUGGUGACAUCAGAACAAUAAAGCGUAGUGCAGGAAAGCGUACGUUACAGGACAUAAUGUAAAAGAAACGCUGGAAAACAUUCUUCUGGCGAAGCUGUAUCGGGAGGUGUUCGAACGGAUCCUACAAACGCACGGCUGUAAGGACAAAGUUGUAAUUGAAUAAUCUGUCCAAACCAGUCUACCGUUCCAUGUUAUGUUUGUUUCUAUAUGAGAAAGAAUUUUUAAUUUAUAUAAAAAUUAUGCAAUAUUAUCUAGUGAAAAGCUCCACAAGUAUAUUAACACUUGACACACAUUACUGAAAUAAUAAUCAG